rnacentral:rRNA from 1 species
ACGAACGCUGGCGGCGUGCUUAACCCAUGCAAGUCGAACGGUGAAGCGCCUUCCUUUUUGGUGGGUGUGGAUGAGUGGCGAACGGGUGAGUAACACGUGAGUAACCUGCCCCCUUCUUCUGGAUAACCGCAUGAAAGUGUGGCUAAUACGGGAUAUUCUGGGUCUGUCGCAUGAUGGGUCUGGGAAAGAUAUUGUUUCGGUGGGGGAUGGGCUCGCGGCCUAUCAGCUUGUUGGUGGGGUGAUGGCCUACCAAGGCGGUGACGGGUAGCCGGCCUGAGAGGGUGGACGGUCACACUGGGACUGAGACACGGCCCAGACUCCUACGGGAGGCAGCAGUGGGGAAUAAUGCACAAUGGGCGCAAGCCUGAUGCAGCGACGCCGCGUGAGGGAUGGAGGCCUUCGGGUUGUGAACCUCUUUCGCCAGUGAAGCAGGCCUGCCUCGUUUGUGGGUGGGUUGACGGUAGCUGGAUAAGAAGCGCCGGCUAACUACGUG